GGACUACCCGGGUAUCUAAUCCUGUUCGCUCCCCACGCUUUCGCGCCUCAGCGUCAGUAUUAUGCCAGGUGCCUGCCUUCGCCAUCGACGUUCCUUCCGAUCUCUACGCAUUUCACCGCUACACCGGAAAUUCCGACACCCUCUCAUAUACUCCAGUCAAACAGUUUGCGAUGCACUUCCCAGGUUAAGCCCGGGGAUUUCACAUCACACAUAUCCGACCGCCUACGCGCCCUUUACGCCCAGUAACUCCGAUUAACGCUCGCACCCUCUGUAUUACCGCGGCUGCUGGCAC
rnacentral:rRNA from 1 species